UAACCCCAGAUGGUUUGCUUUCCUAAGCAUUCGAGACACAUUCUUCUCAUUUGAAAGCUUUGUGACUUACUCAACAACCCCUGUAUCUCAACUAUGUUAAAGAUACAUAGAAAAGAGAUGACAUCACAGAGCUGAUUUCGGUCUUUCAGCUCUGUGCUUAGCUAAAGUUGAGCAGUUGCAAUGAGUCAUGCAAUCUUGUGACCAGGCCGGGCGCUCUUCCAACCAGAGAGACAGUUAAGAUCUCUGACAACAGAACCUGUAGUUGUUUGAAGAGGAGGUAACAACAGGCCCUGGACACUCGGUGAUCCCAGGUUUGUAUAACAUUUUGUACUGGUGAUGCUGGAUGUCCGUGUGAGACAUCUGUGGCUGGGGCUGGACGCCCCCCUCCGUAUCUAGGGACGCCCCCCUUGCAUGGGGACUGGGACUGUGGGAUUUCCAGCCAUGUCCUGUUGACUUGAACCGACUCAGCAGGCACUGCCAUCCUGGGAAACCAAGAAACCUCCUCGUCUCUGGCUUGCUGCGAUCUCCUGGGCUUUAUAAUCAGGCUGCCUUCACAGACACAUUCCUCAAAGCUCGUUUGGAGCAUACAUAUUUUUAAUACAAGAAGCCUGUUGGGAGAAAAACACGAGAUGAAUGUAUUUCUCACCAAAACUCAUAACUCUUUGCUUCCUCCACUAGCUUUUACUAGGACUUGACAAAAAUGGAAAUAGUCUCUCUAGGUAGGAAUUUGUUGUUUUCAUUCAUUUAUAACACGUGAACUGCCCUCUGUUGCCUCUUUCCCUGCUUGGUCUGCCUUCCUUUGAAUUCUCGUGUAAUUUUAACGGUUGUACAAUUUUUUGUGUUGUUGGGAAAUCACUAAUUGUGAAACAUGUUAAACUGAGCACAUUUAAAAAUAACCUAGCCUCUCCUACUGUUUGGGUAGAGCCGUUUGCUUGUUUGGGGUUGCUAAUGGGAAUAAGUGACCAUGUGUGCAGUACCUCUCGAGCCAGCUUGUUUGCUCAGAGGAAAGAAUUCAUUGAAAAGCCAUAGACUACAUUCCAGAAUGUUGGCCAACCACUUUGCAAAAGUAUACUGUUGGGUCACAGCAAGGCGCGCCAUCGCUCCUGGAAAAGCAACUCCAAAUGUCUGCCCGGGGGACAGAGAUCUUGUUGCAGGAUGUCCAUAUAGGCAAUGCUACUACGCAUUUUUAUUAGUGGUUCUUCCCUGCUCCUCCUAAUAAAAUGCUAUUGGAAUAUUUAGUCUCUGGAA